rnacentral:lncRNA from 1 species
AACAAACUAAUUUCGAAACCAUCAUCUUUUGAAUUCCUAAACAUUGAUUAAUACAAAGAUUCAUAUUGAAAUCGAUUAACAGAACCAAGCAUUAACUCAAUCCAAGCAUACAAAUUAACCUGGCAUUGAGCCAUGACUAUAGACGAAACAACACUGUUAAUCCAAAUUUAGAAUCAAUGAUCUUCAGGCUACCAAACACGGACGUCAAUUUAUCAUUUAAGCAUAUUUACUACCCUGGCAAUCAGAGAUUAGCCAAGCUGUAUUUAGCACCAGAACACUCAAAUGAUAUUAUACAAAUCAGUUUCAAUUAAUUCAUUCGAACAAAUUCUCACAUACUCCAUAAUUAGAUUGACUUAGCAUUUAUCAUUUAGAUCCACAUGAAAGCAGUAAAGGAUAAGAUAUGAACCUGAAAACCGAAAUUUCGAUUAUCCUUUGAUGUUCGAAUGUGAUACAAGCAGUAGAAAGCUAAGAAACGAGCUUGAAAGAAAAAUCAACUACUGAAAUCUGAGCCUUAACAACAGCCGCGACGGACUCGAAUAAACCCCGACUCAAUCAAAAUUCGAACGACCACUCAGCUUCANNNNNNNNNNNNNNNNNNNNNNNNNAACCGAUCCUAGUUUCUUCUAGUUUCCUCCUAAAGACCUCUGAAAAAGCCUCUAUAUAUACCCUUACCUCCAGAUUCUUUCUUCCUCUUCAAGAAAUCGGAUAAAGCCCCUUUGAAAACGAGCACCUGAUGAAUGUGAGGCUCAGAUUGAAUGAAAUCGAUCCGACGCCUCUUACUCAUCCAACACACCUUCUAGAGCCUUCUAACGCGUGAUUUAGCUUGCAAACGGGCGACUAAGGGAGGGUAGUUGUCGAUUAGGAAUAUUCCUUCGGCACAGGCCGUUAGGAUUUUGUGACGUGGAAAAGGGAUAGAGACAGGGUGACCAUGUGCGGGUUUAGGGGUAAACUCGCCUGAAAUUCAGACGAGUUUUGGGCGAUUUUGGGCUAGGCAGAGGCGGAGAUGGGGUGGGCGCCAUUUUGGUUGUGUCUUAGGGUUUGGGGAGUGU